rnacentral:lncRNA from 1 species
GACGGAUUUUGACGUAUAAGAUGUCGUUGGAAAGCUCUCUUCCUUCUCUUCAUUUCUGGGUUAGUUUCGUAGCUUGAUACGAACUGUGGAAGGUGCAGCAACUAGAAGAAGAGGACGGUCACUGUAGCAGUUUUGAGUCAAUGCCGAUAUUUUCAGAUUCCGGCAGUCUCCGGCCACCAAAUUGGCAUCGAAUGUUCGGUUUUUGACAUAGAUCAUUUCCCCUAAGGUCUUUCAUUUCAAUUUGCAGUGUAGAGGUCGAAUUAAUAAUUUCAAUUUCUAGGGUUCUUGGAAUUUCUGGAAAUUUUUCACCGGCCAAAUUGGAGCUCUUCCAGGUAAAAUUGGAACUUAUUGUAGUUGAGAAAGAGGUUUGGUUUGUUGAGUAGAUGGUGCUGCCAAAUUUUGGUGGCCAUCGGAGGUGGUUGCGUGUGGCGCGUGGGGCCCACGUGCUGCCACUGUUGGUGGCGCGUGGAGGCGUAGCUUGUAUGUGAAGUUUGGUGAAUUAUGAAGGAGUUUGGAAUUAUUUGUGAAUUUUCGAAGUUUGAAGUUUUGUGAUUGAAUUGUUGGAAAUUCGGCCGUCGGAUUUCCCUCGUUUUCUUUGUGGAAUAUGUUAAUUGAGGAAUUGGUGUUGUGGGAGAGAUUUGGGUUGAAUUUGAGAAGUAAU